AGAACGAACGCUGGCGGCAGGCUUAACACAUGCAAGUCGAGCGGGCGUAGCAAUACGUCAGCGGCAGACGGGUGAGUAACGCGUGGGAACAUACCUUUUGGUUCGGAACAACCCAGGGAAACUUGGGCUAAUACCGGAUAAGCCCUUACGGGGAAAGAUUUAUCGCCGAAAGAUUGGCCCGCGUCUGAUUAGCUAGUUGGUGAGGUAACGGCUCACCAAGGCGACGAUCAGUAGCUGGUCUGAGAGGAUGAUCAGCCACAUUGGGACUGAGACACGGCCCAAACUCCUACGGGAGGCAGCAGUGGGGAAUAUUGGACAAUGGGCGCAAGCCUGAUCCAGCCAUGCCGCGUGAGUGAUGAAGGCCCUAGGGUUGUAAAGCUCUUUUGUGCGGGAAGAUAAUGACGGUACCGCAAGAAUAAGCCCCGGCUAACUUCGCGCCAGCAGCCGC
rnacentral:rRNA from 1 species